rnacentral:rRNA from 1 species
AACGUAGGGGGCGAGCGUUAUCCGGAAUCACUGGGCGUAAAGGGCGUCUAGGCGGCAGCCUAAGUUCCGUGUGAAAGCUCCCGGCUCAACUGGGAGAGGGCAUGGGAAACUGGGCAGCUUGAGACUCGGAGGGGGGUGUGGAAUUCCCGGUGGAGUGGUGGAAUGCGUUGAGAUCGGGAGGAACACCAGUAGCGAAGGCGGCACCCUGGCCGAGAUCUGACGCUGAAGCGCGAAAGCGUGGGGAGCGAACGGG